GACCCCCACUAACGCCAACACCACAGUUACCAGGGAGAGCAGGAAGAGGGGACUCUCCAAGCUUCGGGGGCUCCCAGGCCAGGCUGCCCCCCCGGCCGCCCAUCAGCAUCUCCAGCCUGCUGCAGAGGCAGUGUUUAGUGUGAAGUUUUGAAGUCAUUUCAAAGACAAAGUUGAUGUGUUUUUACCACGACUUCCAUGCCUCCUGCGGGACCUGCUCACCUUGGGGCAGUGACACCUGAAAGAUGAGCACCCAGCCACCCGCUCUGCCCACUUCCAGUCCUCCAGCCUUCGUGCCCACCAGCAUGUGUACGUUAGACAGCCAGUGCGACUGUACUUUCCCUCUUGUUGAAAUAAUUAAGUAAGGUAGUCGCAUAAAGUAUUUUUCUGAUUAUCAGGGCUAGCAUAUAUGUGAUAUGUUUGCAACUUGGAACUUCCUUAAAAUGUUGAUGCUGGAGGCAAAACGAACACCUGCCUGUUGAUUUCCUGUUAGAAGGUUCCGGCUGCAGCUCGCGGCGGAGACAGGUCUGCUGUGGGGUGCGCACGCAGCGUGGGUCGGCGCCGCCACAUCCUGCGUUAGGUGAUUACUACGCAUUCUGGUCACACAGUACUCACAGCUGGCCUGUGAUGCCGGCUUCAGCGGAUGAAUCUCUGUCAGGUCCAGAGAUGAAUUCCGGGCCUGAGCUCACCCUGCAGAUGCGGCCUGCGUGGGUGGAGCCUCCUCAUCCGUCAGGAGGGUGGGGUCUCCUGCAGGAGACGCCCCUGUGCACGUGGCUCCCAGAGAGUCUCAGACCCACGUCUCUCCCGCCAGCCGGGAACACACAGGGUUGGAAGAGAGGCUUAUGGGGUUAGUUCUAAUCUUUUAGUUUGCAUUUACCUAAAAAGUGUCAAAGAACUUUGUUAUCUCACUCGAGUUAACCGAGUUAACAGCAGCCGGCCGCCACGUGAAGCAGGAGAAUCCUCACCUUCACUGCAGGCGGAGCUGAGGCACUGCCGGGCUGCACACAGAGACUUUAUUUCAGGCGAGGCGUCCCUGCCUUCACAGCAGCCUCCCAGGCGCCUCCCCUGGGCCCUCCAGAUGCCAGGAUGCCUGGGCUGCUGGACAGAGGGUGCCCAUGUUCUUCUGGAAGUCAUGGCAUUCAUGGCUGUCCCGGAUUGACUGUCCCCUCUGGGAGCUGAUUAUCCCCUCUGCCGGGAGCUGACUGUCCCCUCUGCCGGGAGCUGACUGUCCCUUCCAGGAGCUGACUGUUCCCUCCGGGAGCUGACUGUCCCUUCCAGGAGCUGACUUUCCCCUCCGGGAGCUGACUGUCCC
rnacentral:lncRNA from 1 species